rnacentral:piRNA from 1 species
UUGGAAGCCUUGGUGAUUAAAGGGUGCUG